GACCUGCCUCUUCUCCUGCUGGCAGGUACACUUCUUCAGGCUGUGUCCUCUGUGCAGGUAGGUAGGGGAUGGCAGGGGGUGAGAGCCAGAGGGAAGAGGGACCACAGGGUGACCCAGAAACACCCUCCUUUCAAAGGGAGCCCUGAGUAAGUUUGGGAAGGGUGGGGUAAGUUGGGGAGCACAGGGUAGUUUGAUGGAGGCAACCUCUGGGUGGGGAAGGGAGCAAUGUCUCAGGAUCUAGUGUGUCUAGGUUCUGAAGAAUGAUAAAUUGGACUGGGGCUGAGGUUGCCCUAGGGUUUGAGGGAACGGGGCUCCCUGGGUAUGGCUCUCCAGGGUGAGAGGAGACUUCCCAGUUCAGCCUGACUGCUUCCCCCACCCCUCCAGGUCCUGAGCCUUUGCCUCCAAAAGGUCUGCAGUAUCUGGUGCUCUUGUCUCAUGCCCACAGCCGAGAGUGCAGCCUGGUGCCCGGGCUUCGGGGGCCUGGCGGCCAAGAUGGGGGGCUUGUGUGGGAGUGCUCAGCAGGCCAUACCUUCUCCUGGGGACCCUCUUUGAGCCCUACACCUUCAGAGGCACCCAAGCCAGCCUCCCUUCCACAUACUUCUCGGAGAAGUUGGUGUUCCGAGGCCACAAGUGGGCAGGAGCUUGCAGAUUUGGAAUCUGAGCAUGAUGAGCGGACUCAAGAGGCCAGGUUGCCCAGGAGGGUGGGACCCCCACCAGAGACCUUUCCACCUCCAGGAGAGGAAGAGGGUGAGGAAGAGGACGAUGAUGAGGAUGAAGAGGAGAUGCUCAGUGAUGCCAGCUUAUGGACCUACAGCUCCUCCCCAGAUGAUAGUGAGCCUGAUGCCCCCAGACUACGCCCUUCCCCUGUCACCUGCACACCUAAAGAGGGGGAGACACCACCAUCCCCUGCAGCACUCUCCACUCCUCUUGCUCUGCCGUCCUUGUCAGCAUCCUCAUUGAGUUCCAGAGCUCCUCCACCUGCAGAAGUCAGGGUGCAGCCAGAGCUCAGCAGGACCCCUCAAGCGGCCCAGCAGACUGAGGCCCUGGCCAGGUAACCUGAUGGCUGAGACAGAAAGGGCAGGGGCGUCCUGGGAUGUGGCCCUCCCUCGAGGCCCUCUGCUCCCUCUUUGCUGCCCAUAGCACUGGGAGUCAGGCCCAGUCUGCUCCAACCCCGGCCUGGGAUGAGGACACUGCACAGAUUGGCCCCAAGAGAAUUAGGAAAGCUGCCAAAAGAGAGCUGAUGCCUUGUGACUUCCCUGGCUGUGGAAGGAUCUUCUCCAACCGGCAGUAUUUGAAUCACCACAAAAAGUACCAGCACAUCCACCAGAAGUCUUUCUCCUGCCCAGAGCCAGCCUGUGGGAAGUCCUUCAACUUUAAGAAACACCUGAAGGAGCACAUGAAGCUGCACAGUGACACCCGGGACUACAUCUGUGAGUUCUGCGCCCGGUCUUUCCGCACUAGCAGCAACCUUGUCAUCCACAGACGUAUCCACACUGGAGAAAAACCCCUGCAGUGUGAGAUAUGCGGGUUUACCUGCCGCCAGAAGGCUUCCCUGAACUGGCACCAGCGCAAGCAUGCAGAGACGGUGGCUGCCUUGCGCUUCCCCUGUGAAUUCUGCGGCAAGCGCUUUGAGAAGCCAGACAGUGUUGCAGCCCACUGUAGCAAAAGUCACCCAGCCCUGCUUCUAGCCCCUCAAGAGUCACCCAGUGGUCCCCUAGAGCCCUGUCCCAGCAUCUCUGCCCCUGGGCCUCUGGGAUCCAGCGAGGGGUCCAGGCCCUCUGCAUCUCCUCAGGCUCCAACCCUGCUUCCUCAGCAAUGAGCUCUCCUCCAGCUUUGGCUUUGGGGAGCCAGACUCCAGGGACUGAAAAGGAGCAAUGAGGAGAGGGUCUGCUUGAGAAACGCCAGAUGCUUGGUCCCCAGGAACUAAGGCGACAGAGUGCAGGGUGGGGGCAAGACUGGGCUGUAGGGGAGCUGGACUACUUUAGUCUUCCUAAAGGACAAAAUAAACAGAGUAUUUUAUGC
rnacentral:sRNA from 1 species